CUCUAUAAUUGUUAUAUCUGUCCCCUAAACAUGGAGAUCAAGCCAGGCUCAUCCAUGGAAUGGAUUGAUAAAAAAUAUCGCUCCCACUCACUAUAUCCACUCCAGUCUUGAUAUACAAGAGAAAAUUAAAAAAAAAAACACCAUGAUAACCAUAUAGGACACUUUAGGUCCGGUUUCUCUCCAGGAGAGAGCAGAUUAGAGUCAAUGAAGAUUAUGGGGUAUAAUUCAGUGCAUUAGUUUGCUUUUGUAGCUGGAGAAAACUAAAUCCUUAUAUACUUCAAUCUGGCACAAUUUGAUUGAUUACACAAUAUUUAACAACCUAAUGGAUGAGUAAAUUCAUUGGGAUCACCUCAUAUAUAUUCCAAAAUCUCAUACAUAGAACCAAAUACAUGAACAGUGCAUAUGCAAUAACUUACACGUUUGACAAAAGGCAUCAUAAGUCCAAACAAAGCUCCAUCACAAUGAAUGUAGAACCGAUCAUGGUUGAAUCCAUUUUCUUCAAGAGUUUGUAUCACAA